CUCCAAGUCUGAUGGGAUAUUCUGGGCCAGGAAACAGGGAAAGAAGGACCUGCUGAUCUCAGGCCUGAAAGCAACCCCUUGGCCCCAAGGCAAUGCCCAGAGACUUCUGAUUCCCUGGGCAAGGGAGAGAUGGACAUGAUUCUGAUGGAGGCCAGUCCCCUUGGCACAGGAGCAGGGCAGACCUGGCUGAGCUAUUCUUUUCAAAUGAAUCCCUUCCAGGGGAGCCAGAGCCUUCUGUUUCCCUUCUGCCUGAGCAAAUGCAUAGGGCUUGGGAGUCCCAAGGGAGAAAGGAUGAGUCAGCCCUAAUCUGCUGGGCCAGCCUCAGGAUCAAAGUUUGGACUGGAAGAUGUCAAUGGUCUUGGGAAAAAAAGUGGACGGAUUGGCUAAGCUGCUCUCUGGACACAAAGGCAGUAACCCACUGAAGGCUGGGGCCUAGAAUCAUUGGCAGUACUCUACAAGGAAGCCAUGGAGGACCAGAGAUGGACAAUGGCGUCGUAACCUUGCUUUGCCUUGGAAUUCCCUUAGAUGGUGGGGAACAGGAUGAUCAGCUUAAUCAGAAGGACUUCUGAGGCUCAUUGCUGCUUGAUCCUUUGUGAGUGAACUGGAGUCCAAUUUGCAGAUGCCACAGAGCCAGCCUUGACCAGCUCAAAAACAAACUUGGGCAGCAGUUGCAGAUUUGGGACUUUGUAAACAUCCUGCUCCCUGGCUUGUUGUGUCUACAGAUGUCUCCCCCUUAAACCCUGCACCCUACUCGAAAGCUUCUAGAAACCAUAGAUAUUUCACCCUUUUCCACUCCUUUUUUUUUGGGGGGGGGGGCUAGGCAAUGGGGUUAAG